rnacentral:miRNA from 1 species
UAUUCAGGAAGGUGUUACUUAA